AGGACGAACGCUGGCGGCGUGCUUAACACAUGCAAGUCGAACGAGGCCCUGCCUUCGGGCAGGUGACCUAGUGGCGAACGGGUGAGUAACACGUGGGCAACCUACCCUCAGCUCUGGGAUAACCCCGGGAAACCGGAGCUAAUACCGGAUACGACCUGGAACGACAUCGUUCCUGGUGGAAAGUUUUCGGCUGAGGAUGGGCCCGCGGCCUAUCAGCUUGUUGGUGGGGUAAUGGCCUACCAAGGCGACGACGGGUA
rnacentral:rRNA from 1 species